UACAGAGGGUGCGAGCGUUGUUCGGAAUUAUUGGGCGUAAAAGGCGCGUAGGCAGUGCCACAAGUCACUUAUGAAAUCCCCGGGCUUAACUCGGGGCCUGCAGGCGAAACUGUGGUGCUGGAGUAUGGGAGAGGUGCGUGGAAUUCCCGGUGUAGCGGUGAAAUGCAUAGAUAUCAAAAGGAACACCUGUGGCGAAAGCGGCGCACUGGACCAUAACUGACGCUGAGGCGCGAAAGCUAGGGGAGCAAACAGG
rnacentral:rRNA from 1 species